rnacentral:rRNA from 1 species
GACGGGGGAUGCAAGCGUUAUCAGGAAUCACUGAGCGUAAAGCGUCUGUAGGUGGUGAUGCAAGUCACUGGUGCAAAACUCUGGCUCAACCGGAGGAAAGCCAGUGAAACUGCAUGACUAGAGUGUGGGAGAGGUAGAAGGAAUUCCCUGAGUAGCGGUGAAAUGCGUAGAGACAGGGAAGAACACCGGAGGCGAAAGCGUUCUACUGGAACACAACUGACACUGAGAGACGAAAGAUAGGGGAGCGAAUGGG